rnacentral:rRNA from 1 species
GAUGAACGCUAGCUACAGGCUUAACACAUGCAAGUCGAGGGGCAGCAUGAACUUAGCUUGCUAAGUUUGAUGGCGACCGGCGCACGGGUGAGUAACACGUAUCCAACCUUCCGUUUACUCAGGGAUAGCCUUUCGAAAGAAAGAUUAAUACCUGAUAGUAUGGUGAGAUUGCAUGAUAACACCAUUAAAGAUUUAUUGGUAAACGAUGGGGAUGCGUUCCAUUAGGUAGUAGGCGGGGUAACGGCCCACCUAGCCUGCGAUGGAUAGGGGUUCUGAGAGGAAGGUCCCCCACAUUGAAACUGAGACACGGUCCAAACUCCUACGGGAGGCAGCAGUGAGGAAUAUUGGUCAAUGGGCGAGAGCCUGAACCAGCCAAGUAGCGUGAAGGAUGAAGGUCCUACGGAUUGUAAACUUCUUUUAUACGGGAAUAAAGUUUCCUACGUGUAGGUA